rnacentral:rRNA from 1 species
AUUGAACGCUGGCGGCAGGCCUAACACAUGCAAGUCGAGCGGAUGAAGGGAGCUUGCUCCUGGAUUCAGCGGCGGACGGGUGAGUAAUGCCUAGGAAUCUGCCUGGUAGUGGGGGAUAACGUCCGGAAACGGGCGCUAAUACCGCAUACGUCCUGAGGGAGAAAGUGGGGGAUCUUCGGACCUCACGCUAUCAGAUGAGCCUAGGUCGGAUUAGCUAGUUGGUGGGGUAAAGGCCUACCAAGGCGACGAUCCGUAACUGGUCUGAGAGGAUGAUCAGUCACACUGGAACUGAGACACGGUCAGGACUCCUACGGGAGGCAGCAGUGGGGAAUAUUGGACAAUGGGCGAAAGCCUGAUCCAGCCAUGCCGCGUGUGUGCAGAAGGUCUUCGGAUUGUAAAGCACUUUAAGUUGGGAGGAAGGGCAGUAAGUUAAUACCUUGCUGUUUUGACGUUACCAACAGAAUAAGCACCGGCUAACUUCGUG